rnacentral:rRNA from 1 species
CCUACGGGGGGCUGCAGUGGGGAAUAUUGGACAAUGGGGGGAACCCUGAUCCAGCCAUGCCGCGUGUGUGAAGAAGGCCCUCGGGUUGUAAAGCACUUUCAGUGAGGAAGAACGCCUGGUGGUUAAUACCCAUCAGGAAAGACAUCACUCACAGAAGAAGCACCGUCUAACUCCGUGCCAGCAGCCGCGGUAAUACGGAGGGUGCGAGCGUUAAUCGGAAUUACUGGGCGUAAAGCGCGCGUAGGUGGCUUGAUAAGCCGGUUGUGAAAGCCCCGGGCUCAACCUGGGAACGGCAUCCGGAACUGUCAAGCUAGAGUGCAGGAGAGGAAGGUAGAAUUCCCGGUGUAGCGGUGAAAUGCGUAGAGAUCGGGAGGAAUACCAGUGGCGAAGGCGGCCUUCUGGACUGAUACUGACACUGAGGUGCGAAAGCGUGGGUAGCAAACAGGAUUAGAUACCCGUGUAGUC